rnacentral:rRNA from 1 species
CAGUAGCCGGCGGUAAUACGUAGGUGGCAAGCGUUGUCCGGAAUUAUUGGGCGUAAAGGGCUCGCAGGCGGUUUCUUAAGUCUGAUGUGAAAGCCCCCGGCUCAACCGGGGAGGGUCAUUGGAAACUGGGAAACUUGAGUGCAGAAGAGGAGAGUGGAAUUCCACGUGUAGCGGUGAAAUGCGUAGAGAUGUGGAGGAACACCAGUGGCGAAGGCGACUCUCUGGUCUGUAACUGACGCUGAGGAGCGAAAGCGUGGGGAGCGAACAGGAUUAGAUACCCCUGUAGUCCCUGUCUCUUAUU